rnacentral:rRNA from 1 species
GCCUACGGGGGGCAGCAGUAGGGAAUAUUGCUCAAUGGGGGAAACCCUGAUGCAGCGACGCCGCGUGGGUGAAGGAGUGCUUCGGCAUGUAAAGCCCUAUCGGCAGGGAAGAAGCAAGACGGUACCCGACUAAGAAGCCCCGGCUAACUACGUGCCAGCAGCCGCGGUAAUACGUAGGUGGCAAGCGUUAUCCGGAUUUAUUGGGUGUAAAGGGCGUGUAGGCGGGAAUGCAAGUCAG